rnacentral:rRNA from 1 species
UACGUAGGGUGCGAGCGUUAAUCGGAAUUACUGGGCGUAAAGCGUGCGCAGGCGGUUCGUUGUGUCGGCGGUGAAAGCCCCGGGCUUAACCUGGGAAUGGCCGUUGAAACUGGCGAACUGGAGUGUGGCAGAGGGGGGUGGAAUUCCGCGUGUAGCAGUGAAAUGCGUAGAGAUGCGGAGGAACACCGAUGGCGAAGGCAGCCCCCUGGGCUAACACUGACGCUCAGGCACGAAAGCGAGGGGAGCAAACAGG